UACGAAGGGGGCGAGCGUUGUUCGGAUUUACUGGGCGUAAAGGGCGCGUAGGCGGCGGGUCAAGUCGAGUGUGAAAGCCCCGGGCUCAACCUGGGAAUUGCGCUCGAGACUGGUCUGCUUGAGUACUAAAGAGGGUCGCGGAAUUCCCGGUGUAGAGGUGAAAUUCGUAGAUAUCGGGAGGAACACCGGUGGCGAAGGCGGCGACCUGGGUAGAUACUGACGCUGAGGCGCGAAAGCGUGGGGAGCAAACAGG
rnacentral:rRNA from 1 species